ACGGUUAACGGAGCGAAAGCGACGUUCAACCGCAAAACAAGCAGAGGGGGCUUAGUGGUGGGGUGACUGCGUACCUUUUGUAUAAUGGGUCAGCGACUUAUAUUCUGUAGCAAGGUUAACCGAAUAGGGGAGCCGGAGGGAAACCGAGUCUUAAUUGGGCGUUAAGUUGCAGGGUAUAGACCCGAAACCCGGUGAUCUAGCCAUGGGCAGGUUGAAGGUUGGGUAACACUAACUGGAGGACCGAACCGACUAAUGUUGAAAAAUUAGCGGAUGACCUGUGGCUGGGGGUGAAAGGCCAAUCAAACCGGGAGAUAGCUGGUUCUCCCCGAAAGCUAUUUAGGUAGCGCCUCGUGAAUUCAUCUCCGGGGGUAGAGCACUGUUUCGGCUAGGGGGCCAUCCCGGCUUACCAACCCGAUGCAAACUGCGAAUACCGGAGAAUGUUAUCACGGGAGACACACGGCGGGUGCUAACGUCCGUCGUGAAGAGGGAAACAACCCAGACCGCCAGCUAAGGUCCCAAAGUCAUGGUUAAGUGGGAAACGAUGUGGGAAGGCCCAGACAGCCAGGAUGUUGGCUUAGAAGCAGCCAUCAUUUAAAGAAAGCGUAAUAGCUCACUGGUCGAGUCGGCCUGCGCGGAAGAUGUAACGGGGCUAAACCAU
rnacentral:rRNA from 2 species